AGUUUGAUCAUGGCUCAGAUUGAACGCUGGCGGCAUGCCUUACACAUGCAAGUCGAACGGCAGCACGGGAGCUUGCUCCUGGUGGCAAGUGGCGAACGGGUGAGUAAUACAUCGGAACGUACCCUGAAGUGGGGGAUAACGUAGCGAAAGUUACGCUAAUACCGCAUAUUCUGUGAGCAGGAAAGAGGGGGAUCGCAAGACCUCUUGCUUUAGGAGCGGCCGAUGUCGGAUUAGCUAGUUGGUGAGGUAAAGGCUCACCAAGGCGACGAUCCGUAGCGGGUCUGAGAGGAUGAUCCGCCACACUGGGACUGAGACACGGCCCAGACUCCUACGGGAGGCAGCAGUGGGGAAUUUUGGACAAUGGGCGCAAGCCUGAUCCAGCCAUGCCGCGUGAGUGAAGAAGGCCUUCGGGUUGUAAAGCUCUUUCGGUGGGGAAGAAAUUGCUUCGGUUAAUACCUGGAGUAGAUGACGGUACCCGCAUAAGAAGCACCGGCUAACUACGUG
rnacentral:rRNA from 1 species